UACGUAGGGUGCAAGCGUUAAUCGGAAUUACUGGGCGUAAAGCGUGCGCAGGCGGUGAUGUAAGACAGAUGUGAAAUCCCCGGGCUCAACCUGGGAACUGGCAUUUGUGACUGCACUGCUGGAGUGCGGCAGAGGGGGAUGGAAUUCCGCGUGUAGCAGUGAAAUGCGUAGAUAUGCGGAGGAACACCGAUGGCGAAGGCAAUCCCCUGGGCCUGCACUGACGCUCAUGCACGAAAGCGUGGGGAGCAAACAGG
rnacentral:rRNA from 1 species